rnacentral:rRNA from 1 species
UACGUAGGGUGCGAGCGUUGCCCGGAUUUAUUGGGCGUAAAGGGCGCGUAGGCGGCUCUGCACGUCCGUUGUGAAAUCGCCCGGCUCAACUGGGCGGGGUCAGCGGAUACGGCGGAGCUCGAGCAAGCUAGGGGGCAAUGGAAUUCCCGGUGUAGUGGUGGAAUGCGUAGAUAUCGUGAGGAACACCAGAGGCGAAGGCGGUUACCUGGACAGUUACUGACGCUCAGGCACGAAAGCAUGGGGAGCAAAAGGG